rnacentral:rRNA from 1 species
GAUGAACGCUAGCGGCAGGCCUAAUACAUGCAAGUCGAGCGAGAUUAAGGAGCUUGCUCCCUAUGAAAGUGGCGCACGGGUGCGUAACGCGUAUGCAACCUACCUUAAUCAGGGGGAUAGCCCGAAGAAAUCCGGAUUAACACCGCAUAAAAACACAGGAUAGAAUUAUCCAAUGUUCAAAUAUUUAUAGGAUUAAGAAGGGCAGUCGUGUCAUUAGCUAGUUGGCGGAGUAACGGCCCACCAAGGCGACGAUGACUAGGGGAUCUGAGAGGAUGACCCCCCACACUGGUACUGAAACACGGACCAGACUCCUACGGGAGGCAGCAGUAAGGAAUAUUGGUCAAUGGAGGCAACUCUGAACCAGCCAUGCCGCGUGCAGGAAGACUGCCCUAUGGGUUGUAAACUGCUUUUAUCCGGGAAUAAACCUAAUUACGUGUAAUUAGCUGAAUGUACCGGAAGAAUAAGGAUCGGCCAACUCCGUGCCAGCAGCCGCGGUAACAC